GUAUCAGUGAGGUUUAUCCUUACCUGUUGUCUUAGAAAUAAGACUGCAGUAUAUGAUGACUGGAUUCUAUGAAUAUGUGAUUAUGUUCUGUAUUUGUACAUGACUUGCAACCCCUUUAUAAAUCCUAUCUGAU
ensembl:snoRNA U8 U8 small nucleolar RNA